CAGGGAUUAGGAUUAGGAUUCAACUCUAUUGUCAUUACACAUGUAUAAAUACAGGGUAACGAAAUACAGUUUGCAUCUAAUCAGAAGUGCAAGAGUAGCAAGUGCAAUAAGAGCAGAAUACAUACAGAUAAGUUAAGUAGAGAGCAAAUAUAGAGAUGUACUGAUAUAGACAGAUAAGGGUAGUUUAAAUGGUGGAAUAGUUAUGAACAGAUGAUGUACAGAAAGAGCAAAUAUACAGCUGAACUACAAACAAAUGUACAGAUAUACAGAUGAUCUGUGCACCACACAGAUGUUCUAUAUUGCUAUACAGACGGGCAGAUAUACAGGUGUACUAUGAACAAAUAUACAGAUGUGCUACAUAUAUACUGUCAGGUUUCCUGGGUCGUUGACCCAGUGAUUUCAGUUUGUUCAUGUUCAGUUUAGUUCGCCACAUUAAUAUUCUCACUUCCUGUUUUUCCCCGUGUCAGCUUGUCUUCCAUGUCAUUAGUCAGAUUAUGUUCAGCUCUGUACUCACCUGUUUCCAAUCAUUGUCAUCAUUCAACCUGUGUAUUUAAGUUCCUCGGUUUCACCAGUUCUCUGUCGUGUCAUUGAUGUUAUGUCGUCGUCUCCGUCUGUACGUUCAGCUAGUCAGCCAGCCAUCCUUCCAGUCUUUCAGCCAGUCAGUCACUCCAUCGUUCCUGCUUUGUUCAUUCACCCUCCAAUAAAUCCUCUUCAUUUCUGCACCGUGAGUCCAGCGUUUGGGUCAUCUCUUCCACGCCUCCACACACAACCUCUGACAUAUACAGAUGUAGCGGUGUGAGGUAAACAGAUCUACAGAGUGUUAUUUUCAGGUAAAUUCUGAACAUGUAACUUUUCUCAGCACAGCAGUAAUACGCAGUACAGCUGUCUGUUAACUGUGCUACAUUUGUAUACCAUCAGCUUCUUUGUUACUCCAUCAGCUCAAAUAAGGAAAAACGUUAGAAACAGCUGUUUACCGUCACUGCCGCCAUCUUGGAAUGUUAAGCCGGGGUUGGAGGGGAAAGCUGAGGUGGGGUUGUUAAUCUGGAACGCACCAUCAGUCUGACUCGCAGCAAGAGUGUCAUUCAGCUGUGUGUGUGUGUGUGUGUGUGUGUGUGUGUGUGUGUGUGUGUGUGUGUGUGUGGUCUUCUCGUGUUUCUGCUUCUUUGAAAUCUUUAAACUCUCUGAACUAAAAGCUUUUGGUUGUCAUGAUAUUUUAAAGAUGCGCACAAACACACACACAAACAGUAAACAGGCAGUAUUUUUAGUUCUGUUGCUAAGAGGGGUGCCUCCUCCUCCGCGUGAGGAAGUCAGCCUGACAGUCGCUGUGUGGGACAGGUGAUGACCUGGGGAGAAGGCGGAGUCUCAGGUUUGUUUCUGACCUGCUGCAGACUGUUGGAAUCACCUUUACACAGACUGUAGACAAAGAUGGAGGUCAAGUAGGAAGCUUCUUGAUCGCCCCCAGGUUGCUUGCUGUGACUUUGGUUUUAAGCCACGCCCCCUCACUCUGCUUGUUUAUAUUUGUGUGAUUGCUUCAUUGAUUGAUGAAUCUGAGGAACCCAGGAGUUAAGUUAGCCACUUCCACUCCGUGCAGCUUCCACUGGGCUGGCAGGCCAGCAGCUAACCUGAAUGCCAGUCUUUGUCCACAUUGAUUUACAUCGAAGUAGUGACCAGAGCUCUUUCUCCUCACAGGAAGUGACCGUCAGCAACAGGAAGUGUUGGACCCGAAAUAAACACAACAUCCAGAUGAUCCAAUGAGACUGAAGAAAACCCAGAAGUGGCAUACGACCUGGUACUAAAUACAUUAGAGGGUUCCCCAGGCAACCAGAGCGUGGAGUGUCCACCAGCAACCAAUCGUCAGCUGCAAAGCAGAGUAUGACGAGUAUGACCAGCAGCUUCAGAGGCCAUGCCCUUGAUAAUGCACACUUCAAUCCAGUGAGGUAUGUUGGAGCAGCAGUUUAUCGGCAGCUGAGAGGAAGAGGUUGGGUAAACUCAUCAGGAAGGCCAGCUCUGUUCUGGGAUGCACCCUGGACCCAGUGCAGGUGGUGGGAGACAGAAGGACUGUGGAAAAAUAACAUCUCUGAUGGACAGAGCCUCCCACCCCAUGCAUGUAAGUGUUGCUGCAGAGCUGCUUCUGUGACCGACUACUGCAUCCUCGAUGCAUGAAGGAGCGUUUCUGCAGGUCCUUCCUACCUGCAACUGUCAGACUGCACAAUCAGAACUGCUCCCAACAAACACAGAUGUUUACAUCAGCGCUGUAACUGCACUCAUCAACCAAACAACUACUACUGUUAUAGCUGCAUAUUACCUAUCUCAGUUUAUAUAAAAAAACCCUAUACUUUAAUAACUGUACUUUAAUAAACUGUCUGUUUUUGUAAUUAUUGUCCAUAAAUAUUUUUUUCUGUAAAAAUUGUUUGUUUCUCUCUUCUGUUUGUAGAUGUGCUUUUAUUCUGCUGCUGCUGUUACAACCAAUUUUCCCCUUGUGGGACAAUUAAAGGAUUAUUCUAUUCUAUUCUUUUAAGCUCUAAAAACUGCAGUCCCUCUGACAGCCACCAGAGAUUAAAUGUUCCCACACAUCAAGGUGAGUUUGAUGGGCCGCUCCCCUGUUUCAGUAACCUCUGCAGGUACCUUUCACAGGUGAAACAAAAUGAACGCUGUUAGACUAAGGAUUCUCUAAAAACUUUACCUGUAAAGACUGAUUUCUUAAAUCCAGCUUCACACACAGAGUUACAGAGUGAGUGUCUGAGAGCAGGCUGUACAUGAGCCUUUAUACAUGUGACGUUUCAUGUCCACUUUAACUAAGAACAUGUUCUUAUCUUGUGGUGCAAACUGAUAUCACAGGAAAGUUUGCAGUACGUUGCAGCCUAUACAACCCAAAUUAAAAGAUAUAUGCCUUUAAAGGACUUUUAAAAUAAUUUUGGCAUAAAGAAGGAUCACUGCAUCAACAAAAACAAUUUUCACCCAGACUAAGUCUAUUUUAAUCUUUAAUGAGAUCAUUAAAAAUGCUUCUCUGCCUGCUGCCCUCAGAGUUUAAAUGUGAAUGUUCACGUACAGAGAAACAGCCUGUCCCUUUAAGGUAAAUCUGGAUUUCAGUGCACACAUGAUGGCAGCAGAUUAGUCAUCAGGAAAUGCUCACGCAUGCAUACAUGAUCACACACACAUGUGAUCAUGUAUGCAUGCGUGAUGUCCUGGCCUACAUCUGCUCAGCUCUUUAUCACAGCUCACUGACCCACUCUCUCUGUGUGUGUGUGUGUGUGUGUGUGUGUGUGUGUGUGUGUGUGUGUGUGUGUGUGUGUGUGUGUGUGUGUGUGUGUCACACUGGGCACUAGGCCAAUAGUGCAGCUGGAUUUGUGUCAUAUGACCUGAAUCUGAGGUUGUCAUUCUUAAGCUUGAGGUUAAACCUGAUGAGUUUCACUUUGUGCAAUUUUCAGCCAUCCUAACCUGCAGACUCUCUCUCUGGAUGCUCCUAAUUUUUAUUCUUAGUGAUUCUAACAGUUGUAAUCUCAAGAAAUCACUGAACAAUUUAUUUCAACAUGUCACUUGUCCUACAAGGCAUAAUAAAACGCUGUAUUUGUGUUAUGGACCAAUUAAGGGGGCAUAUAAGUCUGUGGCCGGACCUGCACUAUGUUCCUCGGAUCACAAUGUUAUUCACCUCCUCCCUGCCUACAGAUCUGUGAUUAGGAGGGAGAAGGCCUGUGUGAAGCGGACUAAUGUCUGGACAAAAGACAGUUGUGUUGCCCUUCAGGGGUGUUUUGAUUGCACUGACUGGUCCUGGUUUCAAGAGAACACUUGUGAUUUGGAUGAACUCACCGAUGUGGUGUGUAGCUACUAGGGGUGCAACGAUAUUCGUAUCGAUAUUGAACCGUUCGAUACAGUGCUUUCAGUUCGGUACGCAUAUGUAUCGAACAAUACAAAAUUUUUAAUCCUUGCAACAUGGCAAACUGAACCUCCCCCACCCUCAUUCAGAUCUGGCCUUUGGAAGUAUUUUGGUUUUCAUGUGACGUAUGACCCUGAAGGUAAGCGCGUCAUGGACUAAAGUAAAACAGUAUGUCGGAUGUGCCACCAAUGCUCAAUUACAUUGGUGGGAACUACUGCGUUAGCGCAGUUAGCUCGUUAACGUGUUGGCCUGGACGCCCCACGAACGGGGCGAUCCGCGGUAGCUCUUUAACGGAGAUUUGCCAUGUUGUGCCGUUAACGUCAUUUCAGAUUAACGCUGACAGCACUAGUGGGAACACAACGAGUAUCACUGCACAUUUACACCGACAUCAUCCUCGUGCAAAGACAAGUGGAAGCAGACAAAAACAACAAGCACGCAUGCUACACACUUUACCCGAGUCAUUUAGACAGCCGUUAGCACAGGAUUCUCCUUAUGGGGACCUGAUAUGUUUAAUAUGCUGCUGAGAAUAUAGCCCAGAAGAAGCGGAUAGUAGAGCUUUUAUUUUGGAAAGAGCCAUUUCUCUGUAAUAAACUCUCUUUUCCAAAGAUGAGUGAUUCCUCAAUCAGAUACAGGGCUCGCAAAAUCGCUAGCCCGACGUCCCGGGGCUAGCGAUUUUUCCAGUCCAGCUACCAAAAUCUAUCUCUGCCCUGCCCGUCGGCCUAUUGUAGGAAGGAAAAAUAUACAGGUAUGUCAAUGCUUUUGCAUUCUUUCGGAAAUGUAGCUGGGUAAUUAUGUCAUUGGCAUCGGUGAGCCACUGUCAAUAUGUGACAUUGAAAUCGCGUUUGAAUUUGCGCUUGUUUUUUGCUUUCACUUUGCAAUCGUGCGAACUGUGUAUAGAGAGCGACAGCACUGAUUGGUGAGUGAUGAUAAUUUGAGCACCAAUUCCUCUGACAUUGUCUUAUCAAUCGUUAGCUUACUAUGCAAACAUGACAAGUUUGCAUAGUAAGCUAAAACGGAAAAGUUAUGACAAAUCAGACUAUAAGGCAAAAAGAAAGUGCAGCUUUAUGGUUUCAUGGACAAAAGAAUUUCUGUGGCUGCAAUAUGACGAGCUAAAUAACCAGGGCUGCACAUAAGUGGUGCGCAGGUGCGCAUUCGCUGUCAAAAUAAAAAACGUGCACCAGAUAAGAAGUUGCAACGCGUGUUUGCGUACAUAAGAUUUUCUGGAGGAGAACAGACAUUUGUUUAGAACUCUUAAAGAUGCCGAAGAAGCUCCUUUAAGCAAUUACUGUGAUGUUCCUCCACCUCCAAAGAAAUGUCAGGAGUCCGAACCACAAAAGAAGCACGUAUUCUCGGAAAAGUGUUUGCAGGAGGUGAGCUGGCUUCAAACAAAUGAUGAACGCACAGAGAUGUGGUGCAGAAUGUGCCGUGAAAAUCCCACUCUAGCGGACAAAAACAGUGCCUUUUAUAUGGACGCAAACGCGCGCUGCAACUUCUUAUCUGGUGCGCGUCUUUUAUUUUGACAGCGAAUGCGCACAUGCGGACCACUUAUGUGCACCUGUGUAAAUAACAUAAUGUUCUGCCGGGUGUGUUGUUGGUUUUCCCUCGAUUUCUGAGUCGACAAGCGCCUUUGUUACUGGGACCAGUCAUUUUAAGAAAGGCCCCCAUUAGAACCCAUGAGAAAUGCAAGAAAUGCAUUAUUGCUCGGUCUGCAAUAUCUUUCCCAGAACAAACACCAAUUGCAAAUAACAUACUAAAAAUAAACCUGAAAAUCUGUUUAGAACAGCUACUAUGUUGCAAAGAGUGAACUACCACUGGCAAAAUUUAGCAGUCUUUGCAAACUUCAAAAAGCAAAUGUCCUCGAUCUUGGUUCCACUUGCCUCUUACCCGUGACUUCAGUGGAAAUUUCAGAUUCAGGAUCUGACACAGACUGAUUCAUGUCCUACACAGUUCUUACAAGUUCAUAGAAAUUUCUGUUCAAUUAGAACAAAGUAUUUGAGUUGAUGAUUGUAAUUUUUAUACAAUGUUGUAAUUUGUUUUUCAACAAUUUUUUGAUUAAUGUUUUGUUUCCUUUACAAUAUUAUACAUUAAAGUAUAAUAUUGUAAAGGAAACAAAACAGGAAACAAAACAUCAAUCAAAAAAUUGCUCUCUUUUUUUAUUCAGGUUACUUAAAUUUAUUUUAGGCUACCAAAAACUGAAGAGUUCCUCCCCGAAGGGCUACCAGGGAUUUUGAAAUUUUGCGAGCCCUGAGAUAUAUUUAUUUAUUUUUAUUACUUUUUUGUUUCAGCAACAUUAAAUUUAAAAACUGUACUUUUGAGUUAAAAUAUAUAUUUAUAAUUUUAAUAAAUGACAAAUUAAAAAGGCAUGAACAUUUUUUUUUUGUAUCGAAAGAAUAUCGAACUGUGACACCAAAGUAUCGAACCAAACCGUGAAUUUUGUGUAUCGUUGCACCCCUAAUAUAUAUGUAUAUUUCUGAAUUUGGCUGUUGUUAC
ensembl:lncRNA